UAAUUGAUUGAAAACGCCGAAUAAAUCAGAAUAACUCGUACGGGAGAUUCGAUUACCAGGGAGCUAUUCAUUACGCGAAGGAGCAAAUUGAAUUAGGAACAAGACCGAGGCGCAGACCGGCUGCGCGGGAGAGCAGACCGGAGAGGCCAGAAACCCCAUCAGAAAUCCCGAUCCCUCCCGAGUGCAGAGCCGGGGCGCCUCGCAGAUCCAGGGAGACAUCCCCGGUCUACAAAAUGCGGCCGAGCACAGGGAUCGGCGCGGCUGCGGCGCUACGAAGCGGUUCCGUGGUGAAAGGGGGCCCGAGCCCGGGCAGAGGCACCAGCACACGCAGAGAUCCGAAGCGGCUGCUUCCCCCAAGGACUGCAGGGCUGCGCGGCGAUACAAGCGAGAUUUGGGGGCCUAGGGGGCGGCCUGCUGCUGCGGCCAACAGCGCUGCGCUGCUAGUUUUGAAAGCGAGACCUCAAAUCAGCCUUCCUAGUUCCUAUGGAAAAACACUGUUUCCAACGCAUUGACUGGCUCCGGCUGUGUGUGUCUUGAUCUGGGCUCAGGAUAUUAUAUCACCGGUUAAAUUAGCAGCACAAGCCUGUAACUUCCAGGCGGUUCCUAGCAGAGUGAGGGAGUUAAGAGGCAAUGUACGGAGAGAGCUGUUUAAACCAACACGAACAACCCGGUUGAACAUUAUCCAAUAUACAUUCUGGCUGGCUGCUGUCGCUUGUACACUGAUGUGCUGUGGGGCGGAGGGGGGGGGAGACAUUAGCAGGGCUGAGAAGCUCUCGGGCUGCCUGCAGGACUGAGGGAUUUGAAGACCUGAAGUCCUUUUCCUUUCUGGACUCUUUGUUUUGGGGGCGGGGGAGAGGGAUUGCUCCAUUCUUUCAGAUGGUGCCAUGUCAUGAAUGUGCCCGGUCUCUGAGCAGCAGCGGUUGCCUUGCAGUGGGGAAUGGAUGGAAGGGUAAUUAAUGCAGAGUGACUGAUUGCGCUUGAGGAAGGCCAGCCCUGCAAAGAGGAUUGUCCCUGGUCACUGAAGCGUUUCUGAUUGACACUUCCCUUCUAUCGUCUACCCAAAGGCAACUAGCAGAGCGGUGCAUUUGUCACCGGCUUAGGCCGAGAGUUGCAAAAUCUCCAGCCCUCAGCAUUACAAAAGUUGGGCUAUUUACUGGAGCAAUAAGGGAGGGGAUUUUUUUAAAGGGUCAGUUGUGUUUGACCAGGGGCACAAUCCCAACGAAAGCAGCAAAGAAUCGUGGGGCACCUUAUAGACUAACAGACGUUUUGGAGCGUGAGCUUUCGUGGGUGAAUAGGAAAGCUCAUGCUCCAAAACGUCUGUUAGUCUAUAAGGUGCCACAGGACUCUUUGCUGCCUUUACAGAUCCAGGCUAACACGGCUACCCCUCUGAUACUUAAUCCCAACGAACAACGCACAAACCCGACUGGAAAUAAAGCUGCGCUUGGCCCGGGGAAAUGUACCGGGUGGGAACUUCCAGGGCCCUUUCUUCCGUUUCUAGACCUGAUCCCCAACAUCGCUGGAUUGAUUUUGCUUUAAACCCGUCUAGAUUUUGCCCCUGCCUAUAAAACAGGCCCUUUGUUUUAAUCAUA